AGCGAACGCUGGCGGCAGGCUUAACACAUGCAAGUCGAACGGGCAUAGCAAUAUGUCAGUGGCAGACGGGUGAGUAACGCGUGGGAACAUACCUCUUGGUUCGGAACAACACAGGGAAACUUGUGCUAAUACCGGAUAAGCCCUUACGGGGAAAGAUUUAUCGCCGAGAGAUUGGCCCGCGUCUGAUUAGCUAGUUGGUGUGGUAAAGGCGCACCAAGGCGACGAUCAGUAGCUGGUCUGAGAGGAUGAUCAGCCACAUUGGGACUGAGACACGGCCCAAACUCCUACGGGAGGCAGCAGUGGGGAAUAUUGGACAAUGGGCGCAAGCCUGAUCCAGCCAUGCCGCGUGAGUGAUGAAGGCCCUAGGGUUGUAAAGCUCUUUACCCGGGAAGAUAAUGACUGUACCGGGAGAAUAAGCCCCGGCUAACUUCGUGCCAGCAGCCGCCGCGGUAA
rnacentral:rRNA from 1 species